UACGGAGGGUGCAAGCGUUAUCCGGAUUUAUUGGGUUUAAAGGGUGUGUAGGCGGGUCUUUAAGUCCGUGGUGAAAUCUCCGAGCUUAACUUGGAAACUGCCAUUGAUACUAUUGAUCUUGAAUUUUGUUGAGGUAGGCGGAAUAAGUCAUGUAGCGGUGAAAUGCAUAGAUAUGACUUAGAACACCAAUUGCGAAGGCAGCUUGCUAAACAAAUAUUGACGCUGAGGCACGAAAGCGUGGGGAUCAAACAGG
rnacentral:rRNA from 1 species